UGUAGUAUCUCUUGUGUUUCGCGGAAUUGCCCGUACAGUUAGCAUCGAGAAUACCGUCAACAGCAUGCGUACACGCUCGUACACACAAACAUAUUCGCAAAAUCUUACGAUAAUCCGAACCGUAGUUAACAACAAAAACGGAGUAGUACGACGGAGCGGCCGUUAGAAUCGCUACGCAGUAGACACGCGAGCCACGCAGUGGGCAGGUGGUGGGGCGGGAUGCGCGCGCAGCGCCUGUACACGUAGGCGGCGUAGGUAGGUGGUAGUGGGGAUGAGCUACGCAGCACACAGUCUCACUCAGCCCCCACUGCUUGCCGCCGGUGUGUCUUUGGUGUCUCUUCUAGCAACGUUCCGACGUUCUCGAUGUUCAUCUUCGUUCGGUACGAUGUGUUAUAUGCGUGUAUGCUCUCCUGCUUUGAUGUUAACGCUCGGUGUUAACUGUAUACGCCGCGCAUUUCUGCGAAGUACGCAAGUUGUCCUUGUACUUUCCGGCAAUUCUCAAACGUUCUCGAAUGUGCGAACUGUAGGUCAGAUCGUCAUACGAUCUUUGUGUAUGCGCGACGCGAGGGGAGGAUGUAUAAAAAAUUCAGUGAUCCUACACAUAUUUUAUCUACACGUCGUGAUUAAGCAUCUCUGAUCGCUGACGAUUACCUCGCGUGAAUGUCGCAAUGAUUUUCGAUUUCCGUCGCUGGUCGCUACGCCAUUGAACGAGUGAAUCGCGCGAAGCAUGUCUCGGCAAAUGAUCCUCGUCUCGAGACUCGUAUGAGUUAAUAAAGUGGAUCGAAUCGUAGAGAAUUACAGAGAACAAUCGUGUUUCUCGCGUACCGUUUUUGUUACCUGUCGCUAUUGUUUGUCAAUCUACGCAUCGAACGAACGGGAAAGGGCACGACGAAAGAUACAUAAUGCAUAGUUAAGCAUCCAUGAUAUGCAAAAUGCAAAUCGCUAAACCAAUGAGCAUCCAGUGGCAAGUCGCCAUAUUGAUUUAGACAAGGACGCUUAUUGGUCCGGCGCUAUGAACGCUAUGAACGCUAAUGACGUAUUGUGCGUUUUGCGUAUCAUGGGUCACGGGCUUUAUGAAUUAUGGUCAUCACAUCAUUAUCCUUUCGAAGGCGAUAGCGGCUGGCGACGAUACCGCAUACGGUAUGUGAAAUGCAAUUAUUCACCACUUGAAUUUUUUACUUGGAUUACCAAAAUUUGCUCCCCUGACUUAUUUUCACACAUCGCCGCGCCGCCGCGUCGUUUACCCGUUUACGAUUAACUGCUCGCAAGCGAUGGUGAUUAUCUCUCGAAGCGGAUUUCACGCGAUUCGAUUGCAUACAUACAUAGAUCAUGGCGAUACAGGCGACGCAAAAAUUGACUGUACUCCGUUGAGACGAUACGUAGAAACAAGAUAGUCAUUUCUCGCGACGACGCGAUGCUUAGAUAAGUUACGUACUUCGGACUUUGAAUUCGUCGCGGAUUUAAUUCUGUCGGUCCGAAUUGAGAGCGUGUAGAGUGACGCCGCGCCGCGAGUCGUCGAACGGAGAACGAUUCGUGCAACGGGAAUCCAUGACGGUUACGUUGUCGAUCGUUAUAAAUUUCUGGAGUAUUCCACGAGAUUCAGCGGCGCGUGCUAUUCAUUUCGGGAAUGCCGUUUAGAAUAGUGCGCGACUUUCGCGAUGAGAUGCUUAAUUAGCCAUGAUUUCGCGACAUGCUGCGUAAUUAGCCGCGUUUUCGCGAGUGUAUGCUGUGCGCGUGUGCAACGACGAAAGCUGUGAGGAGGAGGCGGCCUGGGGAGGCAUCUGGUGACAGCGGAGCAACCCAAGGAUCGACGUGGUGAUGACAAUACAAUCCGCUGUUGCAUCGUAUCGAUAUUUUUCGAGAUGGAAGCGACGAGAAAAGGACACCACCCAUCGUCGCCGACUUGUAAUAAAGUAAACGAAUCGCAGCCGGUUCGUCGCGUCGCGCGUUUUUUUCCGGGAGUGCCGUUUAAGUAUUGGACUAAUGGACUUUUCACACCCAUUCGAUAGAAUCCUAAUUCGAGGGCCAGGAAUCGCACCCCCGCUGCUUGGCAGUGAAUAUUCUUACUGGGGCGUUGCGCAUGGUGGGCGUGCGCGCCGCACCGCGACGUUCCAUGCCGAAGUGCCCGUGCACGAGGCAAUUCCGAGCCGCUGUACGACAUGUUCGUAUGCAUGUUGCGCGGCUGUCUGGAUGUGUGAGUUUACACGCUCUGUCUCCGGCGAUCGGUUCGGUCCUAAGCGGUUAGAGUUCGGAUCGGUUGCCUUGGAUUCGCGCGUUUCUCUUGCUCUCGUCCUCCUAAAGCUUUCUUAGAUCCUUGACACCCUUUUUGGAUUCUUUGGAUCUGGGGUUCGAGCUAGGUGAAUGAUGUUUAAUCUGACUUGGUCAGAACUUGGCCUUGUAGGUUAAGCUUGUGACGAGAGGUUGGUUCUCAUUUCCUGAUUCGUCUAAAAUGCUAGACGUCGGCAAUGAGUACCUUCUUCUCUCGUCCUGCCGGAGUGUCUUGUCGACGCCGCUUGGAUAUAAGAUCCAGUGGGACUGAUCUCGAUGAUCCGUUGGCUGGGCGUAUGAACGAGUCAAUUUUAGACGUGAUUUUUGUGAGACAAGAGACAUCGGAUUUAAUGCUAUUGAUUUCGUCUUCUUCCGCGUGGGAUUUACCCUUGUUCGGGGGCGGGUACGCGUGCGUUCUACUCGCCGACUCGGGGUGCUGAAUCCACGGGAAUCCCUCUGAAUGGGAACGUAUCAUGGGUUUUAUAAACCCGAAGUGCCGCAGUGUCACGCGAAAAACUUUAUUAAUAAUUAGUCCACGCGCGUAAAUUUAUAUAUAUUAUUCGUGAGUGUUCCGCGUGUGCAACGAGAGGAAGAGGAUAACCUGGAGGACACUGAGAGGAGGAGGAGGCCUGGGAGAGGCAUCGGGCCCCAGCGGAGCAACCUUGGGUAAUCACCGUAGCUUCGUGGCUGAUCAACUCCGCUCGUUGCGCAUCGGAUCGGUGAGUCAAAAACCAAUUUUCGUAUUAUAUUUUAAAGUUUUAUAGAAAAAUUACGCCAUUAAUAUCUCAAUAUAUACAUAUAAUAUACGUAUACAUAAUCAGAAUACGCGAUCCCCGCGAUGAUUGGUUCUCUCGCUCAUGAAGUUAGCGCAGCGAGAGGACCAAUCGGCAUCGCGGAAAAGCGACAAGAAUAACUUUGAGAAAUCGAGUAUCGAUGCAGUGAACUUUUGUUUUAGAUAGGAUUCCCUGUUGCGUUUAAUUUUCGACUCGUCCACAAAUUAUUGCGCGAUAACUGUGUUAUUUUUUUUACUGGAUGUACAACGCUUAGACAGUUUCGAAAUUAUUACUUCUAAUCAGGGAUUCGCCGCGCGAAUGGCAAAUAAAAGCGACGGUGUAACGCACACAUUAAAUCAGCCAGAGUUACCCCUCAACCCCUCGAGUUGUAACCGGUCUACUACCAUAAAAAAUUUAAUCAAAAUGCCCUCUUGGUAAUUUACAACUCGCCCAGCGCUCAACCCUUGCCAGGCAAGGUGACUCUCCGGCCAGUGGGUGGGUGGAGAGGCGACCUCGCUUGCUUAAGUAAGCCGAGUUGAAGUAGGGGUUGCAAGACGAUAGAGAGGAAACAACCGAAAGUAAGAAGGGACGAAUAAACCCCGUAGGAGUCAUAGAGCGGCAGUAAGAUGCGGUCCAUUUGCUCGUUCGAGGCUCUUUUCCGUAAAAAAUAAUUCAGUCCUCGCUCGUUUGUCGUUUGCUGCCUGUCGUUUAGGGCUUGAAAUGGCCAACAAUGGAAAAUUCGAGUUUGUCAGUUGGACAAGUGCCGUUGUUGCGAAUCGUAGUAUAAAGCGUAACAGUGGAAAAGAGAAAAUAAAAUAUUUGUAUAUUAUCCCCUUUAUCAAAUUAUAUUUAUAUAAAUAUAAUUUUGCCUUUUAUUUUAUGCAUUAUUAAAUCAUUAUUCCAAACAAGAAUGUGAUUCAUUCGCAGAGCUUCGUGAUUACGUUCUGUCAAUCAACUUAAUUUUCUAUCGUCGCGAUGUUGUGUUAGACCGUGUGAUAAUCGAAUUCGUUAUAUUCGCGCGCGCGACAUUCGUUCGUAGAGAGAGGCGACGAUAAUAAUUUACUUGCAACUUGGACUUAUUGUUGUCGGCAGAGGGAAGGGAGAGGAAGACCCAACGUCGGACCAUUAAGUAGAUUCUCUCUCCUUAAGCAGAAAAAUUGUUCCGCGCUGGCCUACCACACGUGGGUACAGGUGUGAGUCGUAAUAACAUAGUGGAUGUGCCCUUUAACCCCUAAUAUCCCUACCUUCGCGCUGACUUCACUAAGGCCGCCGCAAACGGACGUAGGAACACGGCAAUCAUCGUACCUCUGUAUCAAUUGCAGGCGCAUUAUUAUUGCGGAUAUACUUGGCGGUAUCAUUGAACUUUCGGCAGUAUACCGCGAUCGGGAACGCUGUCAUUGGCGACAUACAUUAUGUCCGAAACAUUAUGAUACGAAAUAUGCGCUUCUCUUACCGUACAAUAGGAAUUAUUUUCAAGGAUUUUCACACGGGAAUAAAGGCGUGGAAUAUACAUAUAAAAAACAUUAUUCUGAACAAGAAUCCAAAAUUUAUUUGAAAUAUUUAAAAUGUAGUAUAAUACUUUAGUAUACUAUAAUACUUCGAGUCGUGAAAAAAGUAUUAUGAAUAACGUUCGGACGUUACUUUACAACUGUAUAGUGAUUCGUUUUGAUACAGUAAAGUGCAAUGAAAAUCUGAAAGUCGCUGCACCGCAAGGUAAUCGCACGGUGAGUUGAGCAAACCAAUUUGGCGAUUGUAUCGAGAUAUAUAAAUGUAGCAACGUCUAUAACUGAAGGAAAAACGAUUUGAAUCUUUAGUAAUUAUAAAGUAACGCUAUAUCAAUGCGCUUCACUUUUGAGUGAGCAAAAAUAUUCGAAAGAAUGCUGAAACUGAAAAUUUUUCAUUUGAAAAGUUUAAAAAAAAA